rnacentral:rRNA from 1 species
UAAGCAACCUGCCUAUCAGAGGGGAAUAACAGUGAGAAAUCAUUGCUAAUACCGCAUAAGCUAGUAGUAUCACAUGAUACAGCUAGAAAAGGAGUAAUCCGCUGAUAGAUGGGCUUGCGCCUGAUUAGCUAGUUGGUGGGGUAACGGCCUACCAAGGCGGCGAUCAGUAGCCGAACUGAGAGGUUGAACGGCCACAUUGGGACUGAGAUACGGCCCAGACUCCUACGGGAGGCAGCAG